ensembl:snoRNA small nucleolar RNA SNORA2/SNORA34 family
GGAGCCCUUAAUCAAGGCCUGUAGCUUGUUGUAGCUACUGGUUUCAAACAGAGGCUAAAAGUAAGAUCCUUCCAACAGUUUGUUGGUUUUCUCCUGAAUUUAAAGGGGGAGGCCCAGGUUGGUUGGAAGAAACAGUU